rnacentral:sRNA from 1 species
CCCUAGCCCUGAUCGAAGCGGCAUCCUUUUGUGCCGGGGUUCGGCAUAAAAGAUAGAGUGGAGAGCAGGAAUAGCU